rnacentral:tRNA from 1 species
GCGGGUGUAGUUUAAUGGUAAAACUCCAGCCUUCCAAGCUGGCUACGGGGGUUCGAUUCCCCUCACCCGCUCCA